AUGGGUGGUGGUGCAUGGCCGUUCUUAGUUGGUGGGUUGCCUUGUCAGGUUGAUUCCGGUAACGAACGAGACCUCAGCCUGCUAAAUAGUCACUGUCGCUCCGGCGGCUGGCCGACUUCUUAGAGGGACUAUUGGCGUUUAGCCAAUGGAAGUAUGAGGCAAUAACAGGUCUGUGAUGCCCUUAGAUGUUCUGGGCCGCACGCGCGCUACACUGACGCGUUCAACGAGCCUAUCCUUGACCGAGAGGUCCGGGUAAUCUUAGAAAACGCGUCGUGAUGGGGAUAGAUCAUUGCAAUUAUUGGUCUUCAACGAGGAAUGCCUAGUAAGCGCGAGUCAUCAGCUCGCGUUGAUUACGUCCCUGCCCUUUGUACACACCGCCCGUCGCUCCUACCGAUUGGGUGUGCUGGUGAAGUGUUCGGAUUGGCGAGAGGCGGUGGCAACACUGUCUCCUGCCGAGAAGUUCAUAAACCCUCCCACCUAGAGAAGAGAGUCGAGCAUCC
rnacentral:rRNA from 1 species